rnacentral:rRNA from 1 species
UGAAGACUUACUGAGUUGUAAACCUCGGUACCUUAAGGAAGAAGAUCUGACGGUACUUAAGGUGGAAAGCAUCGGCUAACUCCGUGCCAGCAGCCGCGGUAAGACGGGGGAUGCAAGUGUUAUCCGGAUUUACUGGGCGUAAAGCGUCUGCAGGUGGUUUCUUAAGUCUACUGUUAAAUCUUGAGGCUCAACCUCAAAUCUGCAGUAGAAACUAGGAGACUUGAGUAUAGUAGGGGUAGAGGGAAUUUCCAGUGGAGCGGUGAAAUGCGUAUAUAUUGGAAAGAACACCGAUGGCGAAGGCACUCUACUGGGCUAUUACUGACACUCAGAGACGAAAGCUAGGGGAGCAAAUGGGAUUAGAUACCCCAGUAGUCCUAGCCGUAAACGAUGGAUACUCGAUGUUGGACGUAUCGACCCGUUCAGUAUCUUAGCUAACGCGUUAAGUAUCCCGCCUGGGGAGUACGCUCGCA